GUGCUGGCAUCUUAUGCAACAAUACUUUCAUCUGUGAAUACCCACUUGCUAAGCCCACCAUGAACUACGAAGGUCAAUUAGGCCUAAUAUGUAAGGACACCAAUGAACAGACACUUUCCAAUUAUCCUACAUAUACAUGGGUGGUCAAACUCACUGGAUGGUUUAUCAACACUCCCAUGCUCACGGACAACCUUGACCCAGGGAUUUUGCCCUGAAGUAACAUUUGCAGUCAAUUGUCUCCUUUCUUUUUACAACCCUGGCAGCCAUGCAGGAUAGAAGCUGAUCACUUGUACUUGACAGCAAAUAACAAUGUCUUGGACAAGUCAAAGAAUUUCCUCCAGUCUUACAGAGAAAUGACAGUUGAUAAAAGAAUGGUGGACACAAAGUAAAAGUGCUCUUCAACAUUUUGUUGAAGAUUUCAGUCUGACUUGGAAUUCGUCUUGCAAUAUUUCUGGAUUUGUAUAUUUGGAUAUAAACGUCACAUUUUCAACUUAUUGACUAAACAGUUUUGCAUUAAAUAUUGCCAAUGCUAUCUUUUAUUAUUAUUUCCCUCCAAGUUAACAUGUCAAGUCUUUAUUGUACCCCUUAAGCUCUGUUAUACCAGAAAAAUCUUGUAAUGAAAUCAUUUAGUUUAUUUUUCUUGUUAGAUUAAAUCCAUGAAAAUAAAGAUUCUUUUUAAUUGCAUCAAGAGAAUGGAUUUCUUGUUUAACAGAAAUGAUUGUAUACCUGUUUUGCAAGCUGUUU